rnacentral:misc_RNA from 1 species
GAUGAAGAACGUAGCGAAAUGCGACAAGUAAUGUGAAUUGCAGAAUUCAGUGAAUCAUCGAAUCUUUGAACGCACAUUGCGCCCUUUGGUAUUCCAAAGGGCAUGCCUGUUCGAGCGUCAUUUGUACCCUCAAGCUUUGCUUGGUGUUGGGCGUCUUGUCUCUAGCUUUGCUGGAGACUCGCCUUAAAGUAAUUGGCAGCCGGCCUACUGGUUUCGGAGCGCAGCACAAGUCGCACUCUCUAUCAGCAAAGGUCUAGCAUCCACUAAGCCUUUUUUUCAACUUUUGACCUCGGAUCAGGUAGGGAUACCCGCUGAACUUAAGCAUAUCAAUAAGCGGAGGA